AUCUCUUGGUGGCUACUCAUCAAAACAGGCCCCGUUUUUGGGCUGUAACCACUUUUCAAUUGCCAACACAUAUUUAACGCAGCACAACAAACCCUCAAUUUCUUGGAACUUAUAAUGGACCCCUUUAAGAAACCAGUGAGAAUGUUGCCCAUAAAGGGGGCCCCGAUCUCUCGACCAAUAAGUGUUUUUACAUUUGACGUGUUUAACCCCCCGGACGAUUCCGAUGGGUCAUCAACUCCAGACUCAGUGUUUGAGGCGGAGACCAGCCCAGCAAGAACUCCUCCAACUCCCGCCUUGAUUCUACCCUAUGAUUAUGUGAGCAGUGAAGACUCUGAUGAUGAAGCACAAGAACAUGCGGAUAACCGGGACACUAAUGACCAGGUCAGCGAGUCAAGUACAAGUGAGGACUCUGAUUCAGAGUCUGAAAGUUCAUGUGACGAUACCCAGCAGACUUUCGUGGACGAUGAGUCCACCAGCUCUUCUGGCGAGGAAGACAGAGAUGAUCCUUUUGAGUCAAAUGACCAGGGCGCGCAGGGCGGGUCGACCUCUGAGUCUGAGGAUGACCUCCCUGCAAUACUGAGGGCUGCACGCGAGACACAAAGUGACAGCUCUAGUGACAGUUCCGGCAACUCCCAUAAAAAAAGGCGAGUGCAGGAAGAAGAAAGUAGUCGCAUCUUGAAAACCCCAGCCCCCAUUUCUGGUAAUGGAAAAUAUAACUGGCCAUGGUUGGAUUGAAACUUUAUUCAAUAAAAAUUAAUAUACAAGUA
rnacentral:tmRNA from 1 species